UGUUGGACGGACAGCCUUGGUCGGACACCCCUCCGCAGUGGUUGGAGACACAGCUGUUUGGUUGGACGCAUCAUCCGGCAGUCCUUUACAGAAGCAUUUUUCAUGGGGAGGAGCUCACGCUGAUCACGGAUAUCUUGUCCCGGGAUCGCAGCAGCGUAGUGUUCCGGCUGCUCUCUCUCCACAUUCCGGAGUAGCUCACGCUGAUCGCGGAUAUCCUGUCCCCGGAUGAAAAGCCUCUGUCGUCGGAUGCGCAGCCCCUCUCGUCGGAUGCACAGCCCCUGAGAGUGUGUUCAGCCACAGACAAUUCCGAAAUGUUCAACACGAGCUAGACACUGUACCCUCAAUAUUCCUCUUCACUGUCAACUGUGGAAUUAUAUCCACCGUGAAACGCACUCCUGGCAGUAUCCGGGCCUUUGGAGGCUUUGGUGCGUUGGACUACGUGUUUGCUAUUGCAACGCUCUGACGCAUGUCGCUCACGCUCUAGAGCUUGGGAUAGCUGCUGAGGCUGACGAAGACACUUGGAGUUUUUGGGCCCUGGGAUGUUGCCGUGGGACAUAGGUGGGGCCGAAGGGUAGUUGUUACACAUGUUAGUCUCGAGCCAGCUCGCGGGUAUGUCGACUAAAGGAGCUGUGGGCUUCUUGGCUUCCCAGUGAGACAUGCGGAUCCAGCGGUUGUGUGUCACAGGCCACGCGGAACUCAUGCAGUAACGAAACAAAAGAUAUAUGUAGUAUCUGGAGAGUUUGCGAUUGUCCACGACUAUCGACUCGGGGAUUUGGGUUUCGCGAUACACCGUGCUAGCGCACUCCAUAGUGUGGAGAGACUCUAGGUCUGCCCUGGGUGUGUACAAUGUGUCGGCUCUCUGCCACAUAUCUCUCAAGUGCUUCAAGGUAGUCUGGAGAGAGCUUUCGCAUUUCAACGUGUCGUGCAGCAAACCCGUGGCUGGCGCACCUGCCACAAUCAGGCACUCAAAGAGCGACAACGACGCGUUUUCAGAGAACACAAUUCCUCUGCGAGAAACCGAACCACCGCUCAUCUCGUAUUAUUUACUAACCCAGAUAUGAACACGGGGCGCGCGGGUGUUGAUGAUCUCGCCAAAAUGGCCCAGAUACAGGUUCCAGACAACCUGGACAAACUGAUGCAUCUGGUGGGGCGGUACAAUCUGUUUUACGUUAAGACCUUGCGUUACAAUGACUUGCGCGGCGUGCUGGACUGGCUCGGAGUACAGUGUGGCGAUUUAGCAUUCAGCCAACACGAAGACACGGUUACAGUGCUCAAUAGGCUUCUCCCAUCGCGCCGUGACGUGGCGGUGGUGAGUAUAGACACGGAACCAGAAAUCGAGGGAAAGACACGCGUAAUUGUAUACAUAAAAGGGGAUCAUGGGCAAGCGCAAGCGGUAUGACUCUAUAGUAUUGUUCCUAGUAGUCAACUUCAAUGGCACUCCAUACAAUCAGGAUGCCAACAUCAUCUUCAA